rnacentral:lncRNA from 13 species
CCAGGAUGAGAAGCCAGGCAGACUGGCCUUAGAUCCAUGAUUUACCUACCUGAAAAUGUUAUUAUAAUUGAACACUGACGUUUUCAUAUUUAUCUUAUAUAUAUGUUGACAACUUGGGCGUAUAUGUUAAAGAAUCACAAAAAGAGAUUUUCAUUUUUCUUGAGUAGUCUUUUGAUGAUGUAUUUCUUUCAUUGAAGUUCAAGGCAGUGGUUGUAUGUCUUCAGCUACUUUGUGUAUUGCCCUUUAUAAAUUCUCAUAACUAUUCACACUUAUACUUUCUCAUUUCUGAUCCCAUCCUCUAGAAAAAUGAGGAAAAUAGGUGUGGUUUACCACAUUUAUUUUUUUUGAUUCCGAAGCACUAUCAGCAGUCAAAAUGAAAGGAAAUUAAGAGGGUUUUUCAAUCCAAUUUUCUAUUGUUUUCUUAGGAAGAAAUUGAAGCAGAACAGAAUCCAAAUCCAUUCAGAGAACACUUUGGUUCAGUGAGGACUUAAUCAAGAAUACUCAUUCUUUACAGGCCAGGCAGGACAUGGAUGAAUCUGGAGAACAUCAUUCUCAGCAAACUGACACAAGAACAGAAAAUGAAACACUGCAUAUUCUCACUCAUAGGCGGGUGAUGAAAAAUGAGAACACAUGGACACAGAAAGGGCUUUGAUUCUUGGAUACAAAAAGGACACCAACUCCUGCUAAAUCUUAAACAUUGACUGUAGUUGAAACCUCAUCGUCAGACCCAGGAGAAGAUGACUGUCAAAAUGAACUGUGUUCUGGAGACCCAGGGAUGAAAAUUAAAACUACUCAACCCCGCUAGUCCGAGGAACUAUUGUGGAAAAUGUGGGUAGGUGAGAUUGUAAGAGCCAACUUUGAGAAAACAAUAAGUUAUAUUGCACCAUAAAUUAAACAUUAAUAUCAAAGGCACACAGAUGCAAGACUAGCAUUUGGGACCUUGUAUCAGUUUAACCAGGUUUUCUUAGAGUAUUAAUCAUCAUUUUAAGAAAAAAAUUAUAAAAGUUUAUAAAAAGGUUUGCAAAAAUCAUAUCUUAUUUUAAAGAUGAUAAAUAUUUAAUAGAUGUGUUGAUAAGAAUUGAGAGAUAUUUAACUGGUGUCAUACUGUCUUUAUUAGGGAUUAUUAUUUGGAAAAGUAAUUCUCCUCUAAUAAAGAGGAAAGGUUUUACUUUUUUUAAAAUAAA